CUGAAAGCCUCCGAGACAGAAGCCUUCUGUUUGCCCACUUAACAGGUACAGUACAGGGCUAGCUUCCCCCCGUGCGGCUGCACUGAUGUGUGUGCCCCACUCCUGGGGGUUCUGCCUCCAGGGGCUGCAGGAGGGUUAGUUCUGAGAGCCGCUGACCUCUGUGCCAUG
ensembl:misc_RNA